ACUUGGUCUAUCUCUGUACCAUAGUAAAAGAAAGAGUUCAUUUCAUGAUCUUUAUUUCGAGGCAACAGUGACAGCGGCUGCAGAAGAUGCUGUAGCACAGCUUGCAUUAAUGACACUGGUAACAGUUGCCUUUCAAAAGGUAAAACUCUUUUUGGCCCAGAGCAAUACCAGCAGUUACAAGAGUUUCCUGCAAAAACUGGGACAAGAUGAAGAACUUUGCUUACCUGAUAUAAAACAAUCAGGAUCACUGAGCCUCACAACCUAAAAUUUUCAGGCAAAUCCUUCUAUACCGGUGAUCCUUCAGCUGUGUCUUCGGACUUGGAAGGUGAAAUUUUCAAAACUGAACCUUGCAUGGAUUCACUGUCCAUUUCUGGUGAUCAAGAAAAAUUAAGCGGUCUGUCUCAUCGUCUUUCCGACUACUGCCCUUGGCUUAUUGUUACUGGUUCUGAUGCAAAUAAGUAUUCAUGCCUUCAGAAGAUGAAGAUGAGAUGGCUCACUCUAAACAUACAUCUCCACAGUCCAUGAGGGCUGAAAAGAUUAAUGCGUCUUCAAUUUUGCAGGGCAUGCAAGAGCUCAUUGGAAAUAAGAAAUCUCCUUCAGUGGAAUCAUUGUGCUAUUUUCCUCGAGAAACUAUAUCACUAGCUGAAAUGAAACCAUCCGAUGAUUCAUCUACCAUCUCGAAUGCAAAUUCUAGAGCGACAAAGUCUAUAGAAACCACAAGUUACCUCCUUUGCAACAGGGUCGGAGUGUACAAAUCCAUUCCAGAUGAGGUCUUCCCUGCAGGCUUCAUCACGUUGGCGACAUAGAGGCCGAUACCAAUAACCAACAUAGCAACAAGAUUCAUUUUCAUCACUUUCCAUGGCUUCUUCAGGUUUGCAAAUGUAUUGUCUACGAAAAGGACAAUGUAUUGCAUGCAUGUUUUGGAGGAGGGGAACAGAUAAUCAACGACAACGACAAUAAUUCCCAGCAAGUUGAAGUGAGUCCUCAUGCCAACGCUUCAAUAUUAAGGUGAAGAGUGUCAGAGUGUUCUUCUUGAACCAACUUUGAAGAAGGCACAAAAUCUUCAUAUACUUGAGUUGCUACAGUAGUUGCAAUCUUGUUGAUGGAAAGGAUGAAUUUUGUAGUGUAUUUAUAAACAAAAAAUUAUCCCUCAGAAAACUUUCAUGAGAUGCUCUCUGUUUUCUUUCAAAAUACAUAUUUCAUUACUUAUGUUUAUAAA